UUGAACUCCUGUUCUACACUUCCCCC
rnacentral:piRNA from 1 species